AGAGUUUGAUCCUGGCUCAGGAUGAACGCUGGCGGCGUGCCUAACACAUGCAAGUCGAACGAAGCACUGAGAGUUUGAGAUUUCGGUCAAGAACUUUCUUUGACUUAGUGGCGGACGGGUGAGUAAUGCGUGAGCAACCUGCCUUUCAGAGGGGGACAACAGUUGGAAACGACUGCUAAUACCGCAUGAUAUAUUCGGAUGGCAUCGUCUGAAUAUCAAAGAUUUAUCGCUGAAAGAUGGGCUCACGUCUGAUUAGUUAGUUGGUGAGGUAACGGCUCACCAAGACUGCGAUCAGUAGCCGGACUGAGAGGUUGAACGGCCACAUUGGGACUGAGAUACGGCCCAGACUCCUACGGGAGGCAGCAGUGGGGAAUAUUGGGCAAUGGGCGAAAGCCUGACCCAGCAACGCCGCGUGAAGGAAGAAGGUCUUCGGAUUGUAAACUUCUUUUAUCAGGGACGAAGUAAGUGACGGUACCUGAUGAAUAAGCCACGGCUAACUACGUGCCAGCAGCCGCGGUAAUACGUAGGUGGCAAGCGUUAUCCGGAUUUACUGGGUGUAAAGGGCGCGUAGGCGGGGAUACAAGUCAGAUGUGAAAUCUAUGGGCUUAACCCAUAAACUGCAUUUGAAACUGUAUCUCUUGAGUGUCGGAGAGGUAGACGGAAUUCCUAGUGUAGCGGUGAAAUGCGUAGAUAUUAGGAGGAACACCAGUGGCGAAGGCGGUCUACUGGACGAUAACUGACGCUGAGGCGCGAAAGCGUGGGGAGCAAACAGGAUUAGAUACCCUGGUAGUCCACGCUGUAAACGAUGAAUACUAGGUG
rnacentral:rRNA from 1 species